rnacentral:rRNA from 1 species
UACGUAGGGUGCGAGCGUUAAUCGGAAUUACUGGGCGUAAAGCGUGCGCAGGCGGUUUUGCAAGACAGAUGUGAAAUCCCUGGGCUCAACCCAGGAACUGCGUCCGAUACUGGCUGGCUUGAAUCCGGGAGAGGGAUGCGGAAUUCCAGGUGUAGCGGUGAAAUGCGUAGAUAUCUGGAGGAACACCGGUGGCGAAGGCGGCAUCCUGGACCGGCAUUGACGCUGAGGCGCGAAAGCCAGGGGAGCAAACGGG